UUACCCUAACCCACACUGCAGCCCCACACCCCAAUUACCAUUCUCCAUUGCAAAAAACAAAAGAAUAAACCUAACAUCCCCUUCAAUCUUCCCCACGCAUGUCACGAUCUCCCCACACCCUUCAUCUUCGCUAUCAAGGGCAGCAAAACUGUGUUCCUUUCCCUUGACCCAUUCCAACCUCUGUCCUUCUUUAAUUAGUUGUGUCGCCAACACGUUCAGAGUGGAGAUGCGACUGUAGCACCCAAGCAUGGUGGAGAUGAUGUGUGGCGUGGCGUUGUGUCGUAAUUGAAAGGUAUGUCUUUGAUGGGGAAGCCGUUGGCGCAAAGGAUCUGUUGUGGCUCGUUAUUUUUUCGUUGAUUUAGUGAGAAAUUGAGAAGAAUGGAGUUGUCCUUGCAAUAUCUAGAGCAUAUGGCUGUUCAAAUCAGAUUGUUGCAGCGCAUGGAAGGAUACUAUGCCAGAUGAUGCACAAGAAAAAUGCAAAUGGAUAUAUUUGGAGUUGAUCUUUCAAAUGUUUUCUGCUACUAGCUAUUUCGGGUAUUAUGAGGUUGAUGAGAGCAAUCCAUUUGAUUCAUUAUAGUGGCUAAUUCAUGAUUCACAGGCAACUAAGUAGUAAGCUGAUAUCAGAUUCAGAUCGUUCAAUUUAUCUUAUUGGUAGGCCUCCUUUGGUUGGUGGCUCGGUUGGUGUCUUUUAUUUGAUUCUAGUUAUCUGCAGCUAUAGGGAGUCUUAGAAGGAUUUGGAUUUAAGAUUGUUAUUUAUUGUUUUAUUGUAAAAGUUGCUCUUGAGUGCUAAAAUUGAAAUUUUCCUUUUAAUGAAAGUAUGAAAAUGGAGAUCAUUAUUUGACAAGUUUUGUCAUUUAGAUAUUGGUGUUACAGAUGAGAUCUUGUAUAUUUAUUUUUUUUAUAAAAUAUAGAGAAACAUAUGUAACUUUAGAGAAUAGUUUGGAAAAUGAUUUUUGUGAGAAACAGGCUUGCCAAACUAGAGUGUCAGUCUG